UUAACGGCUCCUAAGGAGCCAUCAUAGUUUAUCAAGAAAGUAAUAU
rfam:Manacus vitellinus contig26349, whole genome shotgun sequence.